UACGUAGGGUGCAAGCGUUAAUCGGAAUUACUGGGCGUAAAGCGUGCGCAGGCGGUUUUGUAAGACUGUCGUGAAAUCCCCGGGCUUAACCUGGGAAUGGCGAUGGUGACUGCAAGGCUAGAGUUUGGCAGAGGGGGGGUAGAAUUCCACGUGUAGCAGUGAAAUGCGUAGAGAUGUGGAGGAACACCGAUGGCGAAGGCAGCCCCCCUGGGUCAAAAACUGACGCUCAUGCACGAAAGCGUGGGGGAGCAAACAGG
rnacentral:rRNA from 1 species